AUGAAAGGCAAAAUGAGGGUCUAUCUGUCUCUUGCAAUAAAUCAAUUAAACUGAUCUCCUAGUAAAAAAGCUAGAAUCCCCACAUAAGACCAGAAGACCCUGUGAAGCUUAAACUAAACUAUUAAACCCUAUAAUACUUACUUUCGGUUGGGGCGACCUUGGAAAAAAAAAGAACUUCCAAACAUAUGACCACACUCAUACAUAGGCCCACAAGCCUCAUAUAGACCCAGUACAACUGAUAAUUGAACCAAGUUACUCCAGGGAUAACAGCGCCAUCUUCUUCAAGAGUCCAUAUCAAAAAGAAGGUUUACGACCUCGAUGUUGGAUCAGGACAUCCUAAUGGUGCAGCCGCUAUUAAGGGUUCGUUUGUUCAACGAUUAAUAGU
rnacentral:rRNA from 1 species